GUUAGAUUUGGCCUGGAGGCUGUAGCUUGCCAACUCCUCCUCUGGAUUCAUGGAUUAGAGUUUAAGGAAGAGAUGGAGAAGUAUGGCAGAAGAACUGGAGUGAGGCCGAACCCCGUGGUGUUCUAGAAGAAAGGCUCUUGACACAAGCAUCUGGCAGUUAUUUUUCAGGGGAGAACCUACAAAUUAUAAGGCUGUGCAGCUCCCCUUACUAGUCAAGUGAUUACACUUUUGUUUUCUUUUAUUUUUUUUUAGAGACAGGAUCUCCCUCUGUCACCCAGGCUGGAGUGUGGUGCCGCAGUCACAGCUCACUGCAGCCUCGAACUUGUGGGCUCAAGUGAUCCUGCCUCAGCCUCCUGAGUAGCUGGGACUACAGACACACUCCACCAUGCCUGGGGUCUCACUCUGUCACCCAGGCUGGAGUACAGUGGUGCCAUUGCAGAUCACUGCAGCCUCAACCUCCUGGGUUCAAGUGAUCCUCCCACCUCAGCCUCCUGAGUAAUUAGGAUUACAGGCUUAAGCCACCAUGCCCAGCCUACUUUAAUCAUUUUUUAAUUUUAAUUUUAUUUAUUUUUUUAAAUUUUACUUUAAGUUCUGAGAUUCAUGUGCAGAACGUGCAGGUUUGUUACAUAGGUAUACACAUGUCAUAGUGGUUUGCCGCAGCUGUCAACCCGUCAUCUAGGUUUUAAGCCCUGCAUGCCUUAGGUAUUUCUCCUAAUGCUGCCCCUCCCGCAGCCCCCCAUCCUCAGACAGGCCCCGGUGUGUGAUACUCCCCUCCCUGUGUCCAUGUGUUCUCAUUGCUCAACUGCCACUUAUAAGUGAGAACAUGCAGUGUUUGGUUUUCUGUUCCUGUGUUAGUUUGCUGAAAAUGAUGGCUUCCAGCUUCAUCCGUGUCCCUGCAAAAGACAUGAGUUCAUUAUUUUUUAUGGCUGCAUAGUAUUCCAUGGUGUAUAUAUGCCACAUUUUCUUUAUCCAGUCUAUCACUGAUGGGCAUUUGGGUUGGUUCCAAGUCUUUGCUAUUGUAAAUAGUGCUGCAAUAAACAUAUGUGUACAGGUGUCUUUACAGUAGAAUGAUUUAUAAUCCUUUGGGUAUGUACCCAGUAAUGGGAUCACUGGGUCAAAUGGUAUUUCUGGUUCUAGAUCCUUGAGGAAUCGCCACAAUGUCUUCCACAAUGGCUGAACUAAUUUACACUCCCACCAACAGUGUAAAAGCGUUCCUAUUUCUCCACAGCCUUGCCAGCAUCUGUUGUUUUCUGACUUUUUAAUAAUCGCCAUUCUAACUGGUGUGAGAUGGUAUCUCAUUGUGGUUUUGAUUUGCAUGUCUCUAAUGACCAGUGAUGAUGAGCGUUUCUUCAUAUGUUUGUU
rnacentral:lncRNA from 1 species